rnacentral:rRNA from 1 species
GAGUUUGAUCGUGGCUCAGGAUGAACGCUGGCGGCGUGCCUGACACAUGCAAGUCGAACGAAGCAAUCGGGAUGAAGUUUCGGAUGGAUUCCUGGUUGACUGAGUGGCGGACGGGUGAGUAACGCGUGGGAUAACCUGCCUCACACUGGGGAGUAACAGUUAGAAAUGGCUGCUAAUACCGCAUAAGCGCACAGUACCGCAUGGUACGGUGUGAAAAACCCAGGUGGUGUGAGAUGGAUCCGCGUCUGAUUAGCCAGUUGGCGGGGUAACGGCCCACCAAAGCGACGAUCAGUAGCCGACCUGAGAGGGUGACCGGCCACAUUGGGACUGAGACACGGCCCAAAUCCGUACGGGAGGCAGCAGUGGGGGAAUAUUGCACAAUGGGCGAAA